rnacentral:rRNA from 1 species
UACGUAGGGUGCGAGCGUUAAUCGGAAUUACUGGGCGUAAAGCGUGCGCAGGCGGUUCUGAAAGUCAGCUGUGAAAGCCCCGGGCUUAACCUGGGAAUUGCGGUUGAAACUACAGGGCUAGAAUCUGGCAGAGGGGGGGUAGGAAUUCCACGUGUAGCAGUGAAAUGCGUAGAGAUGUGGAGGAACACCGAUGGCGAAGGCAGCCCCCCUGGGCUGAGAUUGACGCUCAGACGAAAGCGUGGGGAGCAAACAGG